GCAUCAGGUUCUUAAAUAAAAAGACUGGAUAGGGGCACUGUGCUUAUCUCUUCUGAUCUCCUAUACAUCCUAGGUCAUUUAAUUUGUUCCUGUUAUUAAUUAUUGUCUGAACUAGAGUGUCUUGUUUUAAACCUUUCUAGGAAUAGAUCAUCCCCAGUUGCUCUUGACACUGGACAGGAGAACAGGAACACAGAUGGGAACCAGGGUCUCAGGGAGAGGUGCCAGGAACUAAAACAGAAACCGGACCUCAGGAACUUCAGUGACAGGAGGACAUGUUAAAAUCGCAGACAUGAGGGAGUGACAGUCAAGCUGUCUGGCCCCAAGGAAUUCCUUCUGAGAGGCAGUGCUCCUUUUCUGCAGUACCAAGCAGCGUGUGGUGUGUGUACACAAAAUGCUAUAAAACCCCACUCGAGAGAAAAAUAAAGUUUUUUAAUGAAACGGGGGGGAAAGGAAGAGAUCUCAGUGGACUGGGAUGUACUGAGAGCAAACCCCAUUGCAUUGGUAUAGGUACCACACCAAGUACCAUUAGUCCCAUCAACCCGACUAGUAACUCCAAUGGUAACAGUACUGACAGUGAAGCAAUAUAGCAUGGGCCUAAUUCUCUACUAGCUUAACACUAUUGAAAUCUGCAGUCACAAGCAGAUAACUUGGGCUGGCGUAUUUAGUGGAGAAUGGUAGGGGAAUCAGAACCAGCGUAGGUAA